rnacentral:rRNA from 1 species
AGAGUUUGAUCAUGGCUCAGGACGAACGCUGGCGGCGUGCUUAACACAUGCAAGUCGAACGGAAAGGCCCUUCGGGGUACUCGAGUGGCGAACGGGUGAGUAACACGUGAGUGAUCUGCCCUGCACUUUGGGAUACACCUGGGAAACUGGGUCUAAUACCGAAUAGGACCACGCGCUUCAUGGUGUGUGGUGGAAAGCUUUUGCGGUGUGGGAUGGGCCCGCGGCCUAUCAGCUUGUUGGUGGGGUAAUGGCCUACCAAGGCGACGACGGGUAGCCGGCCUGAGAGGGUGACCGGCCACACUGGGACUGAGAUACGGCCCAGACUCCUACGGGAGGCAGCAGUGGGGAAUAUUGCACAAUGGGCGCAAGCCUGAUGCAGCGACGCCGCGUGAGGGAUGACGGCCUUCGGGUUGUAAACCUCUUUCAAUAGGGACGAAGCGCAAGUGACGGUACCUAUAGAAGAAGCACCGGCCAACUACGUGCCAGCAGCCGCGGUAAUACGUAGGGUGCGAGCGUUGUCCGGAAUUACUGGGCGUAAAGAGCUCGUAGGUGGUUUGUCGCGUUGUUCGUGAAAACUCACAGCUUAACUGUGGGCGUGCGGGCGAUACGGGCAGACUAGAGUACUGCAGGGGAGACUGGAAUUCCUGGUGUAGCGGUGGAAUGCGCAGAUAUCAGGAGGAACACCGGUGGCGAAGGCGGGUCUCUGGGCAGUAACUGACGCUGAGGAGCGAAAGCGUGGGGAGCGAACAGGAUUAGAUACCCCGGUAGUCC